rnacentral:lncRNA from 1 species
AUUUUCUAAUCAUAGUACUUUUAAAUCUUUGCUAAUAUAGAACUUAAAUUUAUAUUUUCUUAUACAGAUAAAGAAAAGACAUCCACCAUUCAAAAAUAAGCUCAAGCAUACUCUUGCUGAUGACCCAGCUCCUGUUUGAUCCUGUUGACAAGAGUUCAGAAGCUGUAAAGAAAACUUAUUCCCCACACUGGUGUUGCAAAGAAAAGGACACUAGGAGUUGAAGAGAUUAAAACAGGAGAGUUAACAGGAAGUGUACUUUUCUGGGAAUAUGAAACUCUAAAACAACUUUUCAAGUAAUACAUAAUGGCAAUAAUAUAAGGAGGAACACUUUGCGUGAAGGGUUCAAUGACCUUUCAUGCUUACUGCCUCAAGACAUUCCCUACUGUAAAACCAGGUAAAAUCCAUAGGAAUGCAAGGUAGACUGAUGCUAACUUUCCAUUCUUGUAAGAAUACUGACUGCAAUUUACCAAAGGAACUUUUAUUAAUGUAAAAGAAACUAACAACUAAUAAAUAUUAUAUAGAUGGACA